rnacentral:rRNA from 1 species
AUGGGAGGAGAUGGGCAGACGGCGGCGGCGGCGUCCUCCUCGCCCAUCGGCGCGCGACACCUGUCAGAGCCCCGUCGGCUCCGUCGAUCUGCCAGACCUAGGUCGCCGGCGUGGCUGCUGUCUCAGGCGAGAAGAGUGGUCGCGUUAAGACGCGGGAAGGGGGAGCAGCCAACCAUGCUCAAGGCCGUCCGUGGCGGCUGCAAAUCGAGGCUGCGGCUACAAAUUGAAGGUCAGUGCGCGGCGGCCCUCUCUCCUUCUCAUCCCCUCUCGCUCGAGCGAAAGUUGCGGACAUAG